UACAGAGACUGCAAGCGCUAUUCGGAUUCACUGGGCGUAAAGGGUGCGCAGGCGGCCAAGUGUGUGAGGCGUGAAAGCCUGGGGCUUAACUCCAGAAUUGCACCUCAAACUACAUGGCUAGAGCAUUGGAGAGGGUAGCAGAAUUCACGGUGUAGCAGUGAAAUGCGUAGAUAUCGUGAGGAAUACCAGAGGCGAAGGCGGCUACCAGGACAAUUGCUGACGCUCAGGCACGAAAGCGUGGGGAGCAAACAGG
rnacentral:rRNA from 1 species